rnacentral:rRNA from 1 species
UACGUAGGGUGCAAGCGUUGUCCGGAAUUAUUGGGCGUAAAGAGCUCGUAGGCGGUUUGUUGCGUCGGCUGUGAAAUCCCGAGGCUCAACCUCGGGUCUGCAGUCGAUACGAGCAAACUAGAGUGUUGCAGGGGAGACUGGAAUUCCUGGUGUAGCGGUGAAAUGACGCAGAUAUCAGGAGGAACACCGGUGGCGAAGGCGGGUCUCUGGGCAAACAACUGACGCUGGAGGAGCGAAAGCCGUGGGGGAGCAAACAGG